GAGAGACGUGGCAGCGGUGGGAAGUGUUAACGGCAGACAGCGUUGCUUUUCAUCUCUGCUCAGCAGGACGUGUGAACACACAGCAGAAUCAUCUGCAGUGGAACCAGUUCAGGAGAGCGCAGCCGUGGACGUGGGCACCCACCAAGUGAUGGCCUUACAGGACUGGUCUGACGCAGUGUGUGUUGAAGAGCUGAAAGCUUACUGAGCCAUCAGCAGAAACCAGGAGACUUUCUGGUGAGGAGAGAGGCAGGAGGCUUGUCUAGGCAGCUGAAGACGGGGCAGUGCAGGAGCUGUGGACACUGCUGACAGCUGGAGCAGGUCUGUGGGCGAGGGGUGCGGACGAGAUGACCGACCUGCACCGUGCAGCAGCCGACGGAGGCGGCGAAGCUGAAAGGUGUCCGGUGGGGGGUGGACGCCAGGGACUUCUGCACUGGGCCGAAGCGAAUGGAUACACAGCUGUGGAGCAGCAGCUGGUGCCGCCCUUUGCCGACACCGGCGCCAGUCGUGUGGUCGGGUGGACGCCGUUGCAUUAUGCGGUGUGGUAUGGACAUACAGGGGUGGCAACAGCGCUUCUCGUGGCAGGGGCUGUCGGGGAGACGAGGGAUGACUAGAGGAGGAACACCGCACUGGACCUACCUGGGCAGUGCUGCAAACAGCAGCCUAUAGACAUACUCUCACUGAGCUAAUUGAUCGACAAAGCUAUGUGCAAUAAAAAUGAAAUAAUUUAACUGUGUCUACUUGUUAAUUUAAAUAAGGAAUGCAUUAAAUACACCUACAGUCA